CUGAUUUUAUAACUCUCCGUCAAAGUCAAAAUUAAUUCGUGCUGUUUUAGUGAUUUGAAAGCAAAAUUUUAGUAAAUUCAACUAAAUUAAAACAAGUAAAUAUAAAAAUGUGUUGGCUUGCGUGGGCAGUAGCUCUAACUAUGUUUUCCUACAUGUUUGCAAAACCCUAAAUAAAAUAAACUCUAAACACACUGCAAAACAGAUAAUUCUUUUGGAUAAAGAAGAAUUAUUACGAAUAUAUAUCAAACAAUUAAAAUGUUAAAUUGAAAUAAACACUACCUUGAUCUUAUUG